UACCCGUUGCCAUCUCUACCCAAAGCCUUCUUGGAAGCCCAAUCCUCGCGGCGUUAUAUCUGAUCCCGUUCUCGCGGCCUUCUGCGUCCCGGUCGCUCCCGCCGCCACCUCCUCCGCCAUGGCAGCCACGGCCAUCCUCAGAAACUCGAGCUCGAGGCGCCUUCUCCGCUUCUCCUUCUCCUCCUUCUCUUCCCCUCUGCAUUACUCGAGCUGCCGGGGAGCGAUCUUGAGCACUUUCUCGGCUCCGGGGACGCAUUCGCUGCUGGGUUCCAAUGGGAGGAGCUUCGUCGAGGCGGGAUUCUGUUGGAGGUCGAUGGCCACCUUCACUCGCACGAAGCCUCAUGUAAAUGUUGGUACCAUUGGGCAUGUUGAUCAUGGGAAAACCACACUCACGGCGGCGAUUACUAAGGUUCUUGCUGAAGACGGAAAAGCUAAGGCAGUUGCUUUUGAUGAAAUCGACAAGGCCCCGGAGGAGAAAGCUAGAGGGAUUACCAUUGCAACAGCUCAUGUGGAGUACGAGACAGCUAAACGGCAUUAUGCUCAUGUAGAUUGCCCUGGACAUGCAGAUUAUGUUAAGAACAUGAUUACUGGAGCUGCUCAAAUGGAUGGUGGUAUUCUCGUUGUAUCAGCACCAGAUGGACCAAUGCCACAAACUAAGGAACAUAUUCUACUUGCUCGUCAGGUUGGUGUACCAUCACUUGUAUGCUUUCUAAAUAAGGUUGAUGCUGUGGAUGAUCCAGAGUUACUAGAACUCGUUGAGAUGGAGCUCCGUGAGCUGCUUAGCUUCUAUAAAUUUCCUGGUGAUGAAAUUCCAAUAAUUCGGGGUUCAGCUUUGUCUGCCUUACAAGGCACUAAUGAUGAAAUAGGAAGGAAGGCUGUUCUAAAAUUAAUGGAUGCAGUUGAUGAAUACAUACCAGAACCUGUACGGCAGCUUGACAAACCUUUCCUCAUGCCAAUUGAGGAUGUUUUCUCAAUUCAGGGACGUGGAACUGUUGUAACUGGACGUGUGGAACAAGGGACUAUUAAAACUGGAGAAGAUGUUGAGAUAUUGGGUUUAAUGCAAGGUGGUCCUGUCAAGACCACAGUAACUGGUGUAGAGAUGUUCAAGAAGGUCUUGGACCAUGGACAGGCUGGAGAUAAUGUGGGUCUGCUUUUACGUGGCCUGAAGCGUGGAGAUGUACAGCGUGGGCAGGUGGUUUGUAAACCUGGUAGUCUGAAGACAUACAAGAGGUUUGAGGCAGAGAUUUAUGUGCUUACAAAGGAUGAAGGCGGACGCCAUACUGCUUUCUUCUCAAAUUACAGACCUCAGUUCUACAUGAGGACUGCGGAUGUUACUGGGAAAGUUGAAUUACCUGAAAAUGUGAAGAUGGUUAUGCCUGGAGACAAUGUCACAGCUGUUUUUGAAUUGAUAUCACCAGUUCCUCUUGAAGCUGGGCAAAGAUUUGCAUUGCGGGAAGGAGGGAGGACAGUUGGUGCUGGGGUUGUCUCCAAAGUCAUCAGCUGAGAUUUUUCCAGCAUUAUUUUAUUUUGCCCCAUAAGAUAAACUUGUUUAAGCACCACUUAAUGAAGUUCCAUGCAGCACCAGGGACACAUGUGCUUGUAAUACUCGAGUGCAGAGCCAGACGGCCAAGACUAGCUUGUCAUGUCAAAGCUUCAUGCACGUGCAUGUCCACAAACACUGGCAACUCUGUGAGAGCUUGAUCUCAUUAAUGAUAUUGAUUAUGCUUUGCAUACUUAUAUACUGGUCAACAUCACGAGAUUUGAUAUAUGGACAGCAUUGAUGUAAUUAAUUGAUAAAACAUCGAAUUCUUUAGACGAUGGUGCAUUGAGAUUUUCUUCAAUUUGCAGUUGUUGAUUUCAGAAUUGAGCAAAA